AGACCCACCCUAACAGCGGCUAGACCGAAAGGAAACUAUAAGUUAACAUCGAGGUCGCAAUCCUCCCUUUUAAUAAGAACUCUCAAAGAAGAUUACGCUGUUAUCCCUUCGGUAACUUGUUCUUUUAAUCACAAACCGUGGAUCAAAAUAAAAAAUAGGAAGAUCUCAUUCCUAGGUCGCCCCAACCAAACUAAACACAAACAAAAAGUCUUACAUUUAAUAAAGCUCGAAAGGGUCUUCUUGUCCCCUUUCCCCAUCUAAGCUUCUUCACAUAGAGAGAAAAUUCCUCAACUUCUAAAAAUAAAGCAAAACCCUUGUUUAUUCAUUCAUUCUAGCCCUCAAUUACAAGGCAAAUGAUUAUGCUACCUUUGCACGGUCAAAUUACCGCG
rnacentral:rRNA from 1 species